CAGCAGCCGCGGUAAUACGAGGGGGGCAAGCGUUGUUCGGAAUUAUUGGGCGUAAAGAGCUCGUAGGCGGUCUGUCGCGUCUGCUGUGAAAACUGGAGGCUCAACCUCCAGCCUGCAGUGGGUACGGGCAGACUAGAGUGCGGUAGGGGAGACUGGAAUUCCUGGUGUAGCGGUGGAAUGCGCAGAUAUCAGGAGGAACACCGAUGGCGAAGGCAGAUCUCUGGGCCGUAACUGACGCUGAGGAGCGAAAGCAUGGGGAGCGAACAGGAUUAGAUACCCCCGUAGUCCCUGUCUCUUAUAC
rnacentral:rRNA from 1 species